CUGUGACCAAGCUUUGCCAGGGAAGGUCUCUAGAGGAUGAAACAGCCAAGUUGGGCUUUGAAAAGUAAACAGGAAAUUUCCAUUGAGGGAAGAACCUGCCCUUACUAUUAUCAUCAUAAAAUUAACACUCGUGUGCCAGAGAGAGAUGCGGAGAUCUGGCAUCGAGCUUUAACAUGCAUUUCCCAGAGUUCCCACUGUAUCAGACCGUGCAAUGAGCCUCAACUGUGGACAUGUUGAGUGAGCCUGCUGGCUUCCUGGUUCUCAGAUUCUUGGCUCCGAUCCAAGAAGAACCUUCCCUUAAUACUACAGCAGCUGUGCCCAGAAUAGCACUGGAGCCCUAAGCCACCCCUAGCCCAGGCCAUUCUUGAACAAACCCCAGUCCGGGAAGAGGCUCCAGAUCCAGCCUCCGUAUCUACUACUCACUUGGAAAGCUGAACAUGACAUCAACUAAGGCUCUGCACACAUGUCGGGGAUUAGAAGGAUGUUAUUAUGUUGGAGGCGGAGCCUGAAGACAGAGGGCAUCCGCUGCCAUCUGGUGCUGUCUCAGGGACCUGGAGUCUGAAGCCUCCUUCAUCCACCUACCACCCUCUCAACUUAGAUCGUGCAUGCCCUCCGACCCUUCCUCAGGUCGCAAGAAAAAAGCAGAUGAGAGGCCCGACCCCAGUCCCUAGAUUAACACGGAAACCGCUGAGUCCCCUCGGGUCCCGCUUGCC